AACGAACGCUGGCGGCAUGCCUAACACAUGCAAGUCGAACGAGACCUUCGGGUCUAGUGGCGCACGGGUGCGUAACGCGUGGGAACCUGCCCUUAGGUUCGGAAUAACUCCCCGAAAGGGGUGCUAAUACCGGAUAAUGUCUUCGGACCAAAGAUUUAUCGCCUUUGGAUGGGCCCGCGUUGGAUUAGCUAGUUGGUAGGGUAAAAGCCUACCAAGGCGACGAUCCAUAGCUGGUCUGAGAGGAUGAUCAGCCACACUGGGACUGAGACACGGCCCAGACCCUACGGGAGGCAGCAGUGGGGAAUAUUGGACAAUGGGCGAAAGCCUGAUCCAGCAAUGCCGCGUGAGUGAUGAAGGCCUUAGGGUUGUAAAGCUCUUUUACCCGGGAUGAUAAUGACAGUACCGGGAGAAUAAGCUCCGGCUAACUCCGUG
rnacentral:rRNA from 1 species